ensembl:snoRNA
CUGGCCCUGAAUCAAGGCCAUCAGUUUGCUGUAGCUGUUGGUUUCAAACAGGAGCCCAGAGGAAACGUCUCCCAGUCUGUUGGUGCUCCCAUCCUGUGGAACUGCCAAUUCGUGUGGGAGCAACAAAG